rnacentral:rRNA from 1 species
GCUUACGGCCAUACCACCCUGAAUGCGCCCGAUCUCGUCUAAUCUCGGAAGCUAAGCAGGGUCAGGCCUGUUUAGUACUUGGAUGGGAGACCGCCUUGGAAUACCAGGUGCUGUAAGCU